rnacentral:rRNA from 1 species
GACGUAGGGUGCAAGCGUUGUCCGGAUUUACUGGGCGUAAAGCGCGCGUAGGCGGCUCGUUAAGUGUGAAGUGAAAUCCCUGGGCUCAACUCAGGAACUGCUUUACAUACUGGCGAGCUUGAGGGAUGCAGAGGUCUGUGGAAUUCCUGGUGUAACGGUGAAAUGUGUUGAUAUCAGGAGGAACACCCAUGGUGAAGGCAGCAGACUGGGCAUCGCCUGACGCUGAGGUGCGAAAGCGUGGGUAGCAAACAGG